rnacentral:misc_RNA from 1 species
UACGGGGGGGGCAAGCGUUGUUCGGAAUUACUGGGCGUAAAGGGCGCGUAGGCGGACAGGGAAGUCUCCAGUGAAAGCCCCCGGCUCAACCGGGGAAGUGCUGGGGAAACCACCUGUCUGGAGUGCUGGAGAGGAAAGCGGAAUUCCCGGUGUAGCGGUGAAAUGCGUAGAGAUCGGGAGGAACAUCUGCGGCGAAGGCGGCUUUCUGGACAGACACUGACGCUGAGGCGCGAAAGCUAGGGGAGCAAACGGG